rnacentral:lncRNA from 1 species
CACACUGUCACCUUCGGUGGGGGGAGGUGAGAGAUCCCUCAGCUCUGCACACGGACUUGACUUUGUCCGGGAAAACCCAGGAGCCGAAGGUCAACGCGGAAAGCCGAGGAGCGUGGAUCAGGAAGAGGCCCUCAGAAAGAGCAGAGUCAGGCUGGCUCACUGUGGAUGCCGCGGCGGCACUGAGACCGUGGAGCUCAUGAAAUCGCCCAAGCUCCCGGCCUCGGGAGCCAGGCACUGCCACCAUCCACAUUCCGCCCCUGCUUGGCCAGCAUCUCCCUGCUUGAAGCCUAGCAGCCUGGGAGCAAAGCCCUCCCUCCUAGCCUGGGUGCUAUACCUUGCUGCCUGUGUAGGCGUAGUGGUGGCCAGAGGCGGCAGGGGAGCGAGAGCUGACUCGCGUCUUCAUCAGGCACCUACCGAGACACGCUCUUGGUGAACCCACUGCUCGGCAGCCCCGUGAAGUCGCUCUGAUCUCCUGCUUUGGAUGAAAGCUGAGCCAUCCAUCAUGUUGCCCAAGGCUAAAAGGCACCACUGUUUUCUGUCUCAACAGCACCCCCUGGAGUUGUGCGAUGCAAGACUGUUCACGACUUGCCCAGGGUUGUGCCCCAGUAUUCAAUGAUGGUCCUGGAUUCGAAUCUAGAACCUCGCAGACUUCAUUCUCCCUGGGAGACCCCUGCUGCCUCCACCCCUGCUGUCCUGUGCUGCCAGACAUCUCUCUCUGUAGGGACCACAGGGACAGGACCCUCCCGAUGUUAACACUGAAAGUCCCACACUGUGGAGACGGCUGCAGGCACAGCCAGUGCAGGCACAGCCAGCUCAGGCCGCCCUAGCAACACACCACAGACUGUGUGGACAUGUACUCCUCACCGCCCGAAGUCCGAGAUACAGGUGCGCCUGAAUUCCGUUCCUGCCGAGGGCGGACAGCCGGCUCCUCCUGGGCUCACCUGGAGCAGAGACAGAGAACACCUGAGAACACUCUGACGCCCCUUGCGGCCAGGACAGAGAUCCUAUCAGAGGCCCCGCCUCCUGACCUCCUCUAACCCAAGUCACCUCCCGAAGACUCCAGAUCCAAUCACACCAGAGUGGGGCUGGGCUUCCAUGUGUGGAUUUUAGGUGGGCAUAAGUAAGUUCCCAGCAGCCAGGACCCACUUGUCACUCCCUGGCUC